rnacentral:rRNA from 1 species
CCUACGGGGGGCAGCAGUGGGGAAUAUUGGACAAUGGGGGGAACCCUGAUCCAGCCAUGCCGCGUGUGUGAAGAAGGCCCUCGGGUUGUAAAGCACUUUCAGUGAGGAAGAACGCCUGGUGGUUAAUACCCAUCAGGAAAGACAUCACUCACAGAAGAAGCACCGGCUAACUCCGUGCCAGCAGCCGCGGUAAUACGGAUGGUGCGAGCGUUAAUCGGAAUUACUGGGCGUAAAGCGCGCGUAGGUGGCUUGAUAAGCCGGUUGUGAAAGCCCCGGGCUCAACCUGGGAACGGCAUCCGGAACUGUCAAGCUAGAGUGCAGGAGAGGAAGGUAGAAUUCCCGGUGUAGCGGUGAAAUGCGUAGAGAUCGGGAGGAAUACCAGUGGCGAAGGCGACCUUCUGGACUGACACUGACACUGAGGUGCGAAAGCGUGGGUAGCAAACAGGAUUAGAUACCCCUGUAGUC